UGGGAAGGUAAAUGAGACCCUAUUCUGAAAGCGCGCAGCACGUAGAGAGAACUGGGGCCGCAACCCCGCUAUCUGUAUGGUCUUGUCUCUCUGGGCCAUUGUCCCUCAGACUGCCUCUGCAAAGAAGCACAGACUGGUGCCAUGGAAAGCCCGCAAGGAGAGGUCCCGUGGAAAGGCCUGGCGUAGGUAUUGUAGCCAAUAGCCCAGUCGUCUCAGCAAACACGAUGACCCUGAUCUUCUGUGGCCAGAGGGGCAUCUUCCUCCCUUACAGGACCUGGAACUGACACACCUUCCCUCAGCUCCCAAAUACUGCCCCCCAGCACCCGCUGAAUGACAGCACCUCCCCCCAGCACCCGCUGAGUGACAGCACUGACCCCCAGCACCCGCUAAGGGACAGCACCACCCCCCAGCACCUGCUGGGUGACAGCACCGCCCCCCAGCACCCGCUGAGUGACAGCACUGACCCCCAGUACCCGCUGAGUGGUCAGGGUGUUAUCAAUGCUCUCACCCAAAUCUGAGCACUGACACCUCUCUACAUUUGGGAGAUGACAGAAGCCCCUCCAAGCUCUGUCUGCAUGGGACGCUGCCUGGCCCACUGGCUCCCCCGGGUGCUGCUGUUCAUUCUUCUUGGACCGCUGCACCUGGUGAGAGGUGAGCUUCCUUGUGCCUCCUCUUUGGCACUUCCAGACCUGUCUCUUUCCUAGCACAAAAGCCCCAGAUUUGAACCUCAUAUCAUCAGAUCUUGUUGAAGUUGUCUGCAUGCCUGGGGGCUUCCCUAAAAUCCUUCCUGUUUUACUCCUGAUUCCCUGUCACUUUCCCCAACCACUCCUGUCAUAGUUCCUGGUGAUCUCAGAAUCUACAGGGGAUUCUCCAACCUUCUGUACAUCCUCCCCUUCAGCAGUCCUGUCACCUUCCCAGCUGGCCAGGGUCCUUCUCACAACUGCAGCCUCUCCACAGUCUAACCUCAAGGCCCACAUUCUCUGACGAGUCCCCAACCUUGCAGCUCAUGCCCUCCACUCCCCUUUAGCCCCUCCGAGAUCUGCGGUCCUUGGAUAAGACCCAGGUUAGUACUUUCUCAUCCCCUGAUGGCCUUUCCCUCCUCUGUAUCAAGAGAGACUCUCCAGAUCAGCCACUGUGCCUGCUCCCUAACCCUACCCCCCUCCUCUUGCUUCAUCAUAUUCACUCGGCCAAGCCAUAACCCAUGUUA